UACAGAGGUCCCAAGCGUUGUUCGGAUUCACUGGGCGUAAAGGGUGCGUAGGCGGUCGGGUAAGUCUGAUGUGAAAUCUCACAGCUUAACUGUGAAACUGCAUUGGAUACUAUCCGGCUCGAGGAAUGGAGGGGAGACUGGAAUACUUGGUGUAGCAGUGAAAUGCGUAGAUAUCAAGUGGAACACCAGUGGCGAAGGCGGUUCUCUGGGCCUGUACUGACGCUGAGGAGCGAAAGCGUGGGGAGCAAACAGG
rnacentral:rRNA from 1 species